AUUUACAAAUAAUAUUUUUUUAAAAAAAUAAUUAGAACUUCAUCAGCAAUCAUGAGUUUUCAAUAAAUCGGAUGUAUCUUCCUCAUCUGAUCUACUCUUCAGACAAUUCAAGAUGUUUUGAAAAGCUAACCCGAUGUUAGAUAUAAUAAAAAAAAGUCUCACUCGAAAAUUCUAUCUAUACUAAUAAGUAUAAAAUUUCCUUCUACAAAACUUGAGCUUAUUGGGACACCUGGUCAGAGUCAAAUGCCACUUUGAAAUCUUUCAUGAAGUUGUGCUAGAGUAUGACCAGCAAUGGUUAGUUACACCACCAAUGACUGCAAGAGUAGCUCAACUACACAAGUCAAAUAUUAUGAGGGAGUCAGCUGCAGAUCCUUUUCUCCAUUUAUAUGGGAGAGUUAUGCCAUUUUGUAUUUGGUUUGUUGGGUGAUUUUGGAUUGGUGCUUUAAUCAUGCAUGCAUCUCCUCUCACAAAAGAGAUGGGGAGAAGACAAAGGCAUAGACCCACCAGUCCUCCCUCCAAGCCCUGUGAGCAUUCAUGUGAUGGGCCUCAGUAUUGGUGUCCCUUUAUAAAUCUUGUUUUUUUCCAUGAUGUUUGUGGCAUGCACAGUGACCAUCAUUUUGGUCCUGCAUGCAUAUGGAGAAGACUUUCCAGACCGACAGAUAGAAGAGACGAGAGGUGAAAGUAAAAAGCGUUAACCCCCCCAGAUCCCACACUCAGAAAGCCUUUCAGCCUCCAUUCCUCCACAGAACUUUAUCUGCCCCUCUCAAGGCUCCAACUCGCCCUCGGCCACCUUUUCUCCAUACCAUUUUUCCCACCUCCAUCUCCUCUUACUUCCCCCAGCAAAACUGAAGCCUCCUUGAUUCUCCCCUCUUUUAAACCACAAAAGAAAGAAAUCCUCCUCUUCCUCUGAAGAUAGCGAGUGAGAGAGGGAGAUGACUAACAAACUGGGAGCUCUCUCUCACUACCUCCUUUUCCUCCUCUUCAUAGCGACUCUUUCUGAUGGGCUGAGCUCAGAUCAUGGUCCGUCGAGCGACUCAGCAGCGAUGAAGCCAGUGGCUGUGCUCGGGACUUUGGCACUGAAUGAGACCAGAAGGAGGCUUGGGAGCUUCCAGCUAUGUGCUCUCUGUACCUGCUGCGGAGGUCCCCAAGGAAUCUGCCUCCCUUCUCCCUGCUGCUAUGCCAUCAACUGCCACAUACCUAAUAGACCCUUUGGCUUCUGCUCCUUUGCACCCAGGGCUUGCAACUGCUUUGGAUGCCAUCUCUGAUCCAUAUGUCUUCCAUCUUGUUUAUGCUUUUGGUCUCUACUUGCUUAGUUUUUACGUUGGAAGUUUUAACUUGGGGGGAAGACAGAAUGAUCGUCCCCCCUCCCUGUAGCCAAACGGCAUUGCCUCUGCGCAUUAGUACUUCAUUGACAGUAGCAUUAUUAUAAGAA